rnacentral:rRNA from 1 species
UGCGUAGGCGGUUAGUUAAGUCUGUUGUGAAAUCCCCGGGCUCAACCUGGGAAUGGCAAUGGAUACUGGCUAGCUAGAGUGUGUCAGAGGAUGGUGGAAUUUCCGGUGUAGCGGUGAAAUGCGUAGAGAUCGGAAGGAACAUCAGUGGCGAAGGCGGCCAUCUGGGACAACACUGACGCUGAAGCACGAAAGCGUGGGAGCAAACA